GGAGCGGCCGAUAUCAGAUUAGGUAGUUGGUGGGGUAAAGGCUCACCAAGCCGACGAUCUGUAGCUGGUCUGAGAGGACGACCAGCCACACUGGGACUGAGACACGGCCCAGACUCCUACGGGAGGCAGCAGUGGGGAAUUUUGGACAAUGGGCGAAAGCCUGAUCCAGCCAUGCCGCGUGCAGGAUGAAGGCCUUCGGGUUGUAAACUGCUUUUGUACGGAACGAAAAGGUUUGGCCUAAUAAGCUGAGCUCAUGACGGUACCGUAAGAAUAAGCACCGGCUAACUACGUGCCAGCAGCCGCGGUAAUACGUAGGGUGCGAGCGUUAAUCGGAAUUACUGGGCGUAAAGCGUGCGCAGGCGGUUAUGUAAGACAGAUGUGAAAUCCCCGGGCUCAACCUGGGAACUGCAUUAGUGACUGCAUAGCUGGAGUACGGCAGAGGGGGAUGGAAUUCCGCGUGUAGCAGUGAAAUGCGUAGAUAUGCGGAGGAACACCGAUGGCGAAGGCAAUCCCCUGGGCCUGUACUGACGCUCAUGCACGA
rnacentral:rRNA from 1 species